AAUACUCCAACACGCGCCACCAAUACACUUUCUCUCUCUUCCAUUUUCCCCAAAUCUCUCUUCAAACUCCAGAUUCACCGCCCACCCAAAAAUGACAACCUAUGGAACAAUACCCACAUCCCACUCCCCUUCAAACCAACCCGCAACAAACCUCCACUUCAUCACACGCGCCACCACCAAGAUCCAAUCAACCUACACUACCCACCGCCGUCCAUGGAACCACCUCUUCUCUCUCUCCUCCCUCUCUCUCCCUUCCUCCUUCAACGACGCCUACUUCCGCUUCAAAACCAACCUCUCCUUCUUUCGCAUGAACUACGCCAUCAUCGCACUCUUAAUCCUCUUCCUCUCUCUUCUGUAUCACCCAAUCUCUCUCCUCGUCUUCCUCCUCACCAUGUCGGCAUGGCUAUUCCUCUACUUCCUCCGUGACGCGCCUCUGUUUGUUUUCGGGUAUAAUAUUGAUGAUCGCGUUGUGCUCGCUGUUCUCGCUGUUUUGACGGUGGUUUUCUUGCUUCUUACUGAUGUUACUGUGAAUAUCGUGGUGGCGCUUGGUGUUGCUGUUGUUGUGAUUGUGGUUCAUACGGUGGUGAGAGGGACGGAUGAUCUUCCUGAUACGGCGGUGGGGGGUUUUGAAGAUGAGAGUGGCGCGCGUGUUGCUUACAACCGUGGUGCGGGUGGGUUGGGUGAUCGGCUUCCGUUGAAGGAUACGGCGUCGUCUUCAUUCUCUGCUUCCAAUUGAAAAUUCAGUGCUGUAAUCAGAAACUCAAAGGCUGGGAAGAAGCCCGCGGAGGAGAAGAAAGGCCGUUGUCGCAAAGAAAGCUCCGGCUGAAAAGAAGCCAAAGGCCGGAAAGAAGCUCUGCUGCCGCUAGAGACAAGAAGAAGAGCACAAGAAGAGCGUCGAUACUUACAAGGUCCACAUCUUCAAGGUUCUCAAGCAAGUUCACGCUGACAUUGGAAUUUCCAGCAAGGCGAAGAAUGUCCUGUCCUCGUAUGAUGUCACCACCAAACGUGUAACACUUCCUGCUGGUGAUCUUGCCCAAUAGCAGCCAACUGAUGUGUCUUGUUAACUGUUAAGCUGGAAAGGAUUUAUAUGGGCUUGCCUCAAAUACCAUUGCAUUGAUGGAAUCUUCAAAACAGAUAAAGAAGCCUUAAUUAAUUAAAAUGGUGAAAGAAAUCUUCAAUUCAGCUGUUUCUGCCCGAUGCUUGCCAAAGAUCCAAUCACAUUUUACAUAUGAAUGGCACAACCACCCAUUUUACAUAUUCAGAGUUUACAAAUUUUCUCAUGAUAACUUAAUUGGAUUUAGGGGAUGCAGCUAUGUAUAUCGUGGUCAUCUUAAAGAUGGUAGAACAGUAACUGUGAAACGACUUAAAGCUUCUAAGGGACUAGCUUCUGACAGAAUUCUGUAAGGGGGUAUAAGCAAACCUGCUUUUGCAAUCUUCCCAAUCCCUGAUCUAUUGUGGGAAGCCUUACAUAUUAGUAAUAAUUUAACAGCAAUUUAAAAACAAAA